rnacentral:rRNA from 1 species
GACGAACGCUGGCGGCGUGCCUAAUACAUGCAAGUCGAACGCACUCUCGUUUAGAUUGAAGGAGCUUGCUCCUGAUUGAUAAACAUUUGAGUGAGUGGCGGACGGGUGAGUAACACGUGGGUAACCUGCCCUAAAGUGGGGGAUAACAUUUGGAAACAGAUGCUAAUACCGCAUAAAACCUAACACCGCAUGGUGUAGGGUUGAAAGAUGGUUUCGGCUAUCACUUUAGGAUGGACCCGCGGUGCAUUAGUUAGUUGGUGAGGUAAAGGCUCACCAAGACCGUGAUGCAUAGCCGACCUGAGAGGGUAAUCGGCCACACUGGGACUGAGACACGGCCCAGACUCCUACGGGAGGCAGCAGUAGGGAAUCUUCCACAAUGGACGAAAGUCUGAUGGAGCAACGCCGCGUGAGUGAAGAAGGUUUCGGAUCGUAAAACUCUGUUGUUGGAGAAGAAUGUAUCUGAUAGUAACUGAUCAGGUAGUGACGGUAUCCAACCAGAAAGCCAC